AUUGAACGCUGGCGGCAUGCUUUACACAUGCAAGUCGAACGGUAACAGGCCGCAAGGUGCUGACGAGUGGCGGACGGGUGAGUAAUGCAUCGGAACGUGCCCAGUCGUGGGGGAUAACUACUCUAAAGAGUAGCUAAUACCGCAUACGAUCUAUGGAUGAAAGCGGGGGACCGUAAGGCCUCGCGCGAUUGGAGCGGCCGAUGUCAGAUUAGGUAGGUGGUGGGGUAAAGGCUCACCAAGCCAACGAUCUGUAGCUGGUCUGAGAGGACGACCAGCCACACUGGGACUGAGACACGGCCCAGACUCCUACGGGAGGCAGCAGUGGGGAAUUUUGGACAAUGGGCGCAAGCCUGAUCCAGCAAUGCCGCGUGCAGGAAGAAGGCCUUCGGGUUGUAAACUGCUUUUGUACGGAACGAAACGGCUCUGGUUAAUACCCGGGGCUAAUGACGGUACCGGAAGAAUAAGCACCGGCUAACUACGUG
rnacentral:rRNA from 1 species